rnacentral:rRNA from 1 species
AACUCGAAGAGUAGGGCGGGACACGUGGUAUCCUGUCUGAAUAUGGGGGGACCAUCCUCCAAGGCUAAAUACUCCUGACUGACCGAUAGUGAACCAGUACCGUGAGGGAAAGGCGAAAAGAACCCCGGCGAGGGGAGUGAAAAAGAACCUGAAACCGUGUACGUACAAGCAGUGGGAGCACCUUCGGGUGUGACUGCGUACCUUUUGUAUAAUGGGUCAGCGACUUAUAUUCUGUAGCAAGGUUAACCGUAUAGGGGAGCCGCAGGGAAACCGAGUCUUAACUGGGCGUUAAGUUGCAGGGUAUAGACCCGAAACCCGGUGAUCUAGCCAUGGGCAGGUUGAAGGUUGGGUAACACUAACUGGAGGACCGAACCGACUAAUGUUGAAAAAUUAGCGGAUGACUUGUGGCUGGGGGUGAAAGGCCAAUCAAACCGGGAGAUAGCUGGUUCUCCCCGAAAGCUAUUUAGGUAGCGCCUCGUGAACUCAUCUUCGGGGGUAGAGCACUGUUUCGGCUAGGGGGUCAUCCCGACUUACCAACCCGAUGCAAACUACGAAUACCGAAGAAUGUUAUCACGGGAGACACACGGCGGGUGCUAACGUCCGUCGUGAAGAGGGAAACAACCCAGACCGCCAGCUAAGGUCCCAAAGUCAUGGUUAAGUGGGAAACGAUGUGGGAAGGCACAGACAGCCAGGAUGUUGGCUUAGAAGCAGCCAUCAUUUAAAGAAAGCGUAAUAGCUCACUGGUCGAGUCGGCCUGCGCGGAAGAUGUAACGGGGCUAAACCAUGCACCGAAGCUGCGGCAGCGACACUAUGUGUUGUUGGGUAGGGGAGCGUUCUGUAAGCCUGCGAAGGUGUGCUGUGAGGCAUGCUGGAGGUAUCAGAAGUGCGAAUGCUGACAUAAGUAACGAUAAAGCGGGUGAAAAGCCCGCUCGCCGGAAGACCAAGGGUUCCUGUCCAACGUUAAUCGGGGCAGGGUGAGUCGACCCCUAAGGCGAGGCCGAAAGGCGUAGUCGAUGGGAAACAGGUUAAUAUUCCUGUACUUGGUGUUACUGCGAAGGGGGGACGGAGAAGGCUAUGUUAGCCGGGCGACGGUUGUCCCGGUUUAAGCAUGUAGGCUGAUUGUCCAGGCAAAUCCGGAUAAUCAAGGCUGAGGUGUGAUGACGAGGCACUACGGUGCUGAAGUAACAAAUGCCCUGCUUCCAGGAAAAGCCUCUAAGCAUCAGGUAACAUCAAAUCGUACCCCAAACCGACACAGGUGGUCAGGUAGAGAAUACCAAGGCGCUUGAGAGAACUCGGGUGAAGGAACUAGGCAAAAUGGUGCCGUAACUUCGGGAGAAGGCACGCUGGUGUGUAGGUGAAGUCCCUGCGGAUGGAGCUGAGACCAGUCGAAGAUACCAGCUGGCUGCAACUGUUUAUUAAAAACACAGCACUGUGCAAACACGAAAGUGGACGUAUACGGUGUGACGCCUGCCCGGUGCCGGAAGGUUAAUUGAUGGGGUUAUCCGUAAGGAGAAGCUCUUGAUCGAAGCCCCGGUAAACGGCGGCCGUAACUAUAACGGUCCUAAGGUAGCGAAAUUCCUUGUCGGGUAAGUUCCGACCUGCACGAAUGGCGUAAUGAUGGCCAGGCUGUCUCCACCCGAGACUCAGUGAAAUUGAACUCGCUGUGAAGAUGCAGUGUACCCGCGGCAAGACGGAAAGACCCCGUGAACCUUUACUAUAGCUUGACACUGAACAUUGAGCCUUGAUGUGUAGGAUAGGUGGGAGGCUUUGAAGCGUGGACGCCAGUCUGCGUGGAGCCAACCUUGAAAUACCACCCUUUAAUGUUUGAUGUUCUAACGUUGGCCCCUGACCGGGGUUGCGGACAGUGUCUGGUGGGUAGUUUGACUGGGGCGGUCUCCUCCCAAAGCGUAACGGAGGAGCACGAAGGUUAGCUAAUCCUGGUCGGACAUCAGGAGGUUAGUGCAAUGGCAUAAGCUAGCUUGACUGCGAGCGUGACGGCGCGAGCAGGUGCGAAAGCAGGUCAUAGUGAUCCGGUGGUUCUGAAUGGAAGGGCCAUCGCUCAACGGAUAAAAGGUACUCCGGGGAUAACAGGCUGAUACCGCCCAAGAGUUCAUAUCGACGGCGGUGUUUGGCACCUCGAUGUCGGCUCAUCACAUCCUGGGGCUGAAGUAGGUCCCAAGGGUAUGGCUGUUCGCCAUUUAAAGUGGUACGCGAGCUGGGUUUAGAACGUCGUGAGACAGUUCGGUCCCUAUCUGCCGUGGGCGCUGGAGAAUUGAGGGGGGCUGCUCCUAGUACGAGAGGACCGGAGUGGACGCAUCACUGGUGUUCGGGUUGUCAUGCCAAUGGCACUGCCCGGUAGCUAAAUGCGGAAGAGAUAAGUGCUGAAAGCAUCUAAGCACGAAACUUGCCCCGAGAUGAGUUCUCCCUGAGACUUUAAGUCUCCUGAAGGAACGUUAAAGACGAUGACGUUGAUAGGCCGGGUGUGUAAGCGCAGCGAUGCGUUGAGCUAACCGGUACUAAUGAACCGUGAGGCUUAACCUUACAACGCCGAAG